rnacentral:rRNA from 1 species
UACGUAGGGGGCAGGCGUUAUCCGGAUUUACUGGGUGUAAAGGGAGCGUAGGCGGCCAUGCAAGUCAGAAGUGAAAACCCGGGGCUUAACCCCGGGACUGCUUUUGAAACUGUGUGGCUAAAGUACAGGAGAGGCAGGCGGAAUUCCUAGUGUAGCGGUGAAAUGCGUAGAUAUUAGGAAGGACACCGGUGGCGAAGGCGGCCUGCUGGACUGAGACUGACGCUGAGGCUCGAAAGCGUGGGGAGCAAAC